AGUAAGUACAGUUUUGAUACGCAUGUCUAACGUUUCACCGUUCGUCUUAUUUGAAAAAAAAUUAUGAUUAGUAUUUUUGUUGUUAUUACAUGAUAAAACAUGAAUAGUAUUUUAUGUGUGACUAUUUUUUAAAUUUUUUUAUAAAUUUUUCGAAUAAGAUGGACGGUCAAAACGCUGAACACGGAUAUCUAUGGCUACACUUAUU
rfam:Oryza nivara chromosome 8, whole genome shotgun sequence.